rnacentral:ncRNA from 1 species
UUAAAAACUAUGAAAAAGUAAAGUAGUAUAAAGGAAGAUUACAGAGAGAAAAGCAUAGCUGGGAGCUUUUUAUCUAGAAUUUAUAUGAAGUGCGCUUUGGAGUUGAUACCCUGAAUUUUAAGUAAGGUUAUCCGGGUUCUCCCGUUAUAGUGAUAUGGUAUAAAAUGUACCAAAUUUUAAGGUGGAAUUAGUUUUUUUAUUUUACUAAUUCAAUUAGAGUGGAACCGCGAGAAGUUACUUCGUCUCUAUG